UGAACAAAUCGAGGUGCUGGCAGCUGGCACACCUGGCAUAGCUUUUUCUGUGCAUCUCUUCCAUUUGGCUAUUGUACCAACCACCAAGUUGCAGAUGCUAUCAUGAUUCCAUCCUGAUUUCCCUGGGAAGACAACUUCAACAUGCCUUGGGACCUCAAUGCUUCAGAGCCCUACCCCACUAGGGGAAGACAGAAAUGGGCUGGGGGCUCCUCCAGGAGGCAAGACACAGCCCUGUGUCUCCCUGAGGGACUGGAGCCAUUCCCAGUCCUCCGGCUGCUGACUCGUGUACAUGUGUAGGCAGCUUGCUUUCCCUGUUCCAGAUGGCUGGACAAGUUAAAUCAACUCAACACAGCUGCAGCAUAAGAUGUCCGUCCAGCUUCUGCUUCAUCAGAGGGGAUUUCACUGGUGAGAGAUGUAAGGAGAGAGCCAGCUGGAAGGCCAGACAUAAAGAACUCUAUGGUAGGAGAUACAGACAACCGUGUCUGCUUCCUACUCUCUUUUGAAAAGUUCUCAGUCUGUAGAAAGACAUGCAUUAGAGACGUGAAGAAGAGAAGGGGAACACUGACUUAACUAGGGAUACCUGUUAAUGCUUCAUCUUGCUCAUAGCCACUCACAUUUGCCUAGCUAGUUAAACCUU